rfam:Picea glauca, whole genome shotgun sequence.
ACAUGCCUACAGUAUAGCAUUAAUGCACCAAAUCCCAUUAGAAAUUUGCAGUUAAGCACACUUAGGCUAGAGUAGUACUAGGAUGGGUGACUUCCCAUGAAGUCCUAUUUUUUUACAUGCC